rnacentral:lncRNA from 1 species
UUAAUUAAAGAUUAACCGUUGAGAUCAGUAAAGCAAGAUUGCUUCUCCUGCUGUUUUUCAUCCCUUUACACUUCUUGCAGAGCUCUGCCUGGGACAAAGCAAAGCAGCCCCUCCAGCACUGUGCAGAAUGGAAGAUUUCCAUGCCUUUUGGCUCAUCUGAUUCCCUCAUUUAACUGAGGGCAGGCAUCUCCCUCCCAGAUCUCACUCUGUGAAAGCCUUGAAGACUGUGCACUGGAGGUCUGAAGUUCACAUCCAGAGAAAAGAGAGCACGUCCAUGAAAAUGUGGCUGGAGGAUGCACAAGAUAACACCAGCAGGAAAGAGCAGCUCAGCCCCAGAAGACAAGUGCCUAAAUCUCAUGUUCCACAGGUGAGGCUCUACACAUCUUUCAUCAAGUGCUGGACAUGAUGAAAUAGUGCUUCAAGGGUGGGUGCAGCUGCAGUGAGAUUUGGUGGGAAUUAGUUCAACAGGACCUAAAUGGAACAGAUAAUGUUAAGAGAAAUGCUCUUGUUUUCAAGUGUACUCUUAGACCCCACUGACCCUAUCAAGUAGCACCUAUUGGCCCUUCUGCAGAAAUGCAAUAACCCCAAUCUUUGGUGGUACGUCCCAAAUAGGGUGACAGCCCCCAGAUCCCCAGAU